rnacentral:rRNA from 1 species
GCCCGCUCAGAAACUUAAAGGAAUUGACGGGGCCCGGCACAAGCGGCGGAGCAUGUGGAUUAAUUCGAUGCAACGCGAAGAACCUUACCUGGGCUUGACAUACACCAGAUCGGCGCAGAGAUGCGUUUUCCCUUGUGGUUGGUGUACAGGUGGUGCAUGGUUGUCGUCAGCUCGUGUCGUGAGAUGUUGGGUUAAGUCCCGUAACGAGCGCAACCCUUGUCCUUAGUUACCAGCACGUUAUGGUGGGCACUCUAAGGAGACUGCCGGUGACAAACCGGAGGAAGGUGGGGAUGACGUCAAGUCAUCAUGGCCCUUACGGCCUGGGCUACACACGUGCUACAAUGGUCGGUACAAAGGGUUGCCAAGCCGCGAGGUGGAGCUAAUCCCAUAAAACCGAUCGUAGUCCGGAUCGCAGUCUGCAACUCGACUGCGUGAAGUCGGAAUCGCUAGUAAUCGUGAAUCAGAAUGUCACGGUGAAUACGUUCCCGGGCCUU